rnacentral:tRNA from 1 species
UUUUAGGGAGACCUAAUCCACUCACAGUUUAAAAGCAAACAGCGAAUAGAACUUGAGAUGGUCAUUCCUAGGUCGGUCGCAGAUAUAAGUUGGGGCUUUCAAACUAUGAACGGUUCGUAUAAGGGCUAUUAGCUCAGGUGGUUAGAGCGCACCCCUGAUAAGGGUGAGGUCCCUGGUUCGAGUCCAGGAUGGCCCACCUGAAGCAAGUCAAAAGUCAAAAGUAACCAAUUUUGAAUUUUGAAUUGUAGAUGGGGGUUUAGCUCAGUUGGUAGAGCGCCUGCUUUGCAAGCAGGAUGUCAGCGGUUCGAGUCCGCUAACCUCCACCUAAAGAAAAAAGACAUUCAGCAACAGGACGAAGAGUCAGACUGCUGGGUGAGAGUCCAGUCAGAACCUUGAAAACUGCAUAAGUAACGCGAAAGCAGGCAGACACAGACAUUGAAGAGAUGAUUGUGAAUGCAGGUGAAACACCAAAUGUUAAGU